AUACAGAGGGUGCAAGCGUUAAUCGGAAUUACUGGGCGUAAAGCGUACGUAGGCGGUUUGGUAAGUCAGAUGUGAAAGCCCUGAGCUCAACUUGGGAACUGCAUUUGAAACUGCCUGACUAGAGUGUGAUAGAGGAUAGUGGAAUUUCCGGUGUAGCGGUGAAAUGCGUAGAGAUCGGAAGGAACACCAGUGGCGAAGGCGGCUAUCUGGAUCAACACUGACGCUGAGGUACGAAAGCGUGGGGAGCAAACAGGAUUAGAAACCCCAGUAGUCC
rnacentral:rRNA from 1 species